CUGCCGGCGACCGGCGCACGGGUGAGUAACACGUAUGGAACCUGCCCGCAGCAGGGGGAUAAGCGGAAGAAAUUCCGUCUAAUACCGCGUAACAACGUUGGGAGGCAUCUCCCGAUGUUUAAAGAUUUAUCGGCUGCGGACGGCCAUGCGGCGCAUUAGCUAGUCGGCGGGGUAACGGCCCACCGAGGCGACGAUGCGUAGGGGUUCUGAGAGGAAGGUCCCCCACACUGGUACUGAGACACGGACCAGACUCCUACGGGAGGCAGCAG
rnacentral:rRNA from 1 species